rnacentral:lncRNA from 1 species
AAAAAAGAAAUGCACGAUACAAGCAAACGAUACGUAACGUAAACCAAUAAAAAUGCUGAAAAAAAACAGGUGGACCAAAUUGCGUAGAACUGCUACGUCACCUAAACUGCUCUUCUUAUAAUUACUUGUAAGUUUUAUAUCUUUCUCACAGAAAGCUAGUAAACUUCUAACACAAAAAAAGCAGAGCCAAUAUGUUGAGAAUCCUUAGCAAAAAUCACACAACACCAAAAUCAACAACAAUGGUUACCAGAUCUGAGUCCAAAAUCGAAACUUACGAUGUUUUGGAAGAUUUAUCUUCAUGGGAAUUUGUUAAUCCAUCGGACGAUGAACAAGACAUCUACUCCUUCAGUGAUCAUACUUCUGAUGAUGAAAAUGAUGAAUUGAUAUCAAAGGAAGAUGAUCCAUGUGAAAUCGGGUCACCGUCUUCUCCUUCACAUGUUCAAAUCACUGGUUCAUUGCUUGUUGACUCAUGUGAAAUCGGGUCACCAUUUUCUCCUUCACAUGUUGAAAUCACUGGUCCAUUGUUUGUUUUUGAUGUUAGGGUUGACGAUGGUCAUGAGGAGGAAGAUGAAGUGGAAGAGGAAGAAGAAGAUUAUGAUGGGUAUGAUUUGGAUGAUGAGUUAGUACCAAAAUGGUUGAGUGAUAAAUUUGGGAGACAAAGGAUAAGGAAAUUAGGGAAAAGAGCUUGUUCUAGAAUGAACAAAUCAAAAAGAGGGCCUUAUAUAUUUAACAGGCCAGGUUGUGUUCAUGGAAAACAUGGACUUGGUGUACAGCACAGUUAUGUUUAAAGUGAAUAUUGUAGUUUCAGUUUCAACAAGGAUGAAUAACUGGGAAGUUUUAGGUUGUUUAUUUUAACUGGAAUUAUGGCUGAUUUGAUUUGAAUAUAAUCUUAAUUUGUGUAUUUAGGACUGGUUGGAAUUAGGUUGUUUUUUAAUUUGGUGACUCUGUGGCUUCUUCUAGAAUGAACAAAUCAAAAAGAGGACCUUAUAUAUUUAACAGGCCAGGUUGUGUUCAUGGAAAACAUGGACUUGGUGUACAGCACAGUUAUGUCUAAAGUAAAUAUUGCAGUUUCAGUUUCAACAAGGAUGAAUAACUGGGAAGUUUUAGUUGUUUAUUUAACUGGAAUUAUGGCUGAUUUGAUCUGAAUAUAGUCUUAAUUUGUGUAUUUAGGACUGGUUGGGAUUAGAUAGUUGUUUAAUUUGGUAACUCUUUAGUUUGUGUUUAAGCCUUAGGUUGUUUACUUGGAUUUGGAUGUAAAUAUCUGAAUUUAUCUAAUGCAUUUCAAUUUCAAGAUCCCCUCUUUUCUCUUUUCUGUGUUGUGUUUAUUGGCGUAUGUCAACUAUAAAGAACUCCUUUUGUUCUUCAUAAUUCGCACUGCGAUUUGUGUGGUGCAACGUAACUGCUAUAAUCUAGUCUAGUGGGGGUCUACAUAGGGCAGUGUCUACACCCUUCACGCGAAUGGACAGUGGUGAUCCGCAUUACAACUAUAUUUUAUGCUAUUUUAUG